rnacentral:tRNA from 3 species
GGGCCGGUAGCUCAGUCGGUAGAGCAUCUGCCUUUUAAGCAGAGGGUCCCGGGUUCGAGUCCCGGCCGGCUCACCA